GACGAACGCUGGCGGCGUGCUUAACACAUGCAAGUCGAACGGAAAGGCCCCUUCGGGGGUACUCGAGUGGCGAACGGGUGAGUAACACGUGAGUAACCUGCCCUUGACUUCGGGAUAACUUCAGGAAACUGGGGCUAAUACCGGAUAGGAAUCCUUGCUGCAUGGUGGGGGUUGGAAAGCUUCGGCGGUUUUGGAUGGACUCGCGGCUUAUCAGCUUGUUGGUGGGGUAGUGGCUUACCAAGGCUUUGACGGGUAGCCGGCCUGAGAGGGCGACCGGCCACAUUGGGACUGAGAUACGGCCCAGACUCCUACGGGAGGCAGCAGUGGGGAAUAUUGCACAAUGGGCGGAAGCCUGAUGCAGCAACGCCGCGUGCGGGAUGACGGCCUUCGGGUUGUAAACCGCUUUCAGCAGGGGCGAAGCUUGUGGUAACGGUACCUGCAGAAGAAGCACCGGCUAACUACGUG
rnacentral:rRNA from 1 species